rnacentral:rRNA from 1 species
CAGUCGCCGCGGUAAGACAGAGGAUGCAAGCGUUAUUCGGAAUGAUUGGGCGUAAAGCGUCUGUAGGUGGCUUUUCAAGUCCACCGUCAAAUCCCCGGGCUCAACCCUGGACAAGCAGUGGAAACUACCAAGCUGGAGUACGGUAGGGGUAGAGGGAAUUUCCGGUGGAGCGGUGAGAUGCGUUGAGAUCGGAAAGAACACCAACGACGAAAGCACUCUGCUGGGCCGACACUGAUACUGAGAGACGAAAGCUAGGGGAGCAAAUGGGAUUAGAUACCCCAGUAGUCCCUGUCUCUUAUAC